AAUCCAAUAUAAUAAUAUGCAUAUCUUUCAUUAAAUUAUAUGAGCUCAUACAGAAGAGAUUAGGUGAAAAGAGUUGUAGUAUGGAGGAAUAACCGUUGGGGAAAACCCGGUGAACUAUAGGUAGAAAGCAAGAACAGUGCUGACAGGCAGAGAAUGAUGGGAAAUCCUUGCCCUUGGCCCUUUAGGACAUUGGGUAAUUAAGAAAGAUGCAUUUGACCAUCUUGGACCAAUAGCUGUAAAACCCAGGUACGUUGUAAUAGUACCGAAAACUCUGGUAUCAAAAGGAUGUCUUGUUGAAAAGAGUGGUCAAUAUUCAACAGUAAAUAGUAAAUAGUAAAUAGUAAAUAGUAAAUAGUAAAUAGUAAAUAGUAAAUAGUAAAUAGUCAAUAGUCAAUAGUCAAUAGUCAAUAGUAAAUAGUAAAUAGCCAAUAGUCAAUAGUUGGAGUUGCAACUAGUAGCAGUUGCGAGGAAGCUGCGAAUAAUUGCAUCGUUGCUCAUGAGUUGUGAGUUGUAAGUUGUAAGUUGAGUCGUGAACUACCAAUUUAGUUGUCUUUAGCUGUAUCGCAUUACUACAUUAAGUUCUAAUUAAAUAGUUAUAGUUUUCUGUUUCAAUCACAAUAAAUAAAUAAAUCUAUAUAAUAAAUAAAGAUCACUAUGAUCCUGAUCUCUAUAUUAUGUAUAAGAUUUUCUUAUGGAUUCUAGAACCUUUAUGAAUAUGUAUAAUAAUUUGUUUAAUAUUUAGUAGCGUGUCGAUCCCUCUAUCAAUGUUCGCUCAUAGUUUUCCCUUCAAUUCACUUUUCCUCUCAACUUCACGCACAAGAAGUACAUAUAUUUACUCAAAAAUAGAAUAGAAUAAUGAAAUAGUUGAAACGAGCCGCAAUUUGCCAGUCCCGGGAAUCAUUGGGGCAAUCAGGAUGUAAGAAACAACAGGGUCAUCUCGAUCCGAUCGAAGUCAUCGAAGAUGCAGCCUAUUUAACGCUUCUAGCGUAAUCGUGACCACGUAUGUCUAGCAAGCGUGAGUAUGUGUAUAGGCGGGGCAUAAUAAUUCAUCAGGACGCUCUUUCUGCAUGGAAGUCGAAGGCCGCUGUGGCGCGCGGGUCUGUGGUCGCGGCCACCUCGAUAUGGGCUGCGAUACGAUAUCGAGAUGGUUAAAAGACACGCGUGUGCCACGUACGACCAGUUUCCGACGGCAGUGGCGUAUUUCUUAUAUCGUUUAACCCUUUGGCCCAAGAAUAUACUAAUGAAGAUAUAGGUGAUUUAAAAAAUAAAGACAGAUGACGAAUUGCGAUUCAGAUGCUCGAUUCUAACUCGUGCAAUUCUUUGUAUAACUGUCUAAAAUAUGAUCAGUACAAUAUUAUCGGCGAUGAAUAGCGAAACUAUUCAUUAUAUUAAUAGAAUGAUAAUUAAUGGCGGAAGAUUGAACGAAAACAUCGGCCUACGCCAUUGAACACUUGCGUCCUUGCGGUUGGAAUUACGCACGAGCUCUCCCUGUCCUGGCUGGAACAGGUACGUAAGUAUCACGAUUUUUUUCCCCUACAAUCUAGGCUUAUAAUGUGCCGUCUUAAAGCAAAUGACGGCUACCAGAGAAAAUAAUCGUCGGCCACUUCAAAUCGGCACGCAUUGACGUUCCGGUCAGCGAUAAUUAAUGUACUUUACAAAGUAGAGAGAAAGAGAGAGAGAGAGAGAGGGAGAGAGAACGAAAAGAGAUCUCGUAAAUGAAGAGACGACGUCGAUCGAGACUAAGUUAAAAAGCAGGAGCGAUUCGUAUUGACAUCACGCACCAACGACGAUUCUAUAUACGACCGUGUCGGUCUUUUCUCAUUGGAUAUGCACGUGACGUCAGGCAUGUGUCACACUGGUGUGCGGCUGAACAAGUGAAAACUGUCCAUCGCGGAGGACGUUUUUCUGCUCUAUUGUCACAGCGAACGGAACGAAGUUUCUCGACUUCCAUCAUGGAAGAAGAUACUAGUUAGUAAUAUUUUUUAAAUAUUAUUCUAAUAUCGUUUCUCUUUUACAUCUUUUUAAGUGGGAGAACUACGAAUUACGUGAACCACGACUCUUCUGAGACGAUAGUUUUUAUCGAAGGUCUUUCUCUAUCUGUUUUACUAAAUUCUCAAGUGAAAAAUCGGAGAUGUCACGAUGAGAGUCGAAAGCACAACGGCAGACAAUACAAGUGGUAGAAGACUGUGGGUCUUAAAUUAUGUGGAUCGUAAAUCGAGCAACGGAUGCGAUUGUUCGGUGAUUGCGUUUAAAUCACCGUUCGACAUGUCGUCGGUGAUUUAAAUGCGUGGUCGAAGAACGAAAAGCGACAGAUAAAUAGAGCGAUCGGAGAACAGGUGGACACUCGUGGGUGGUAUGCCUGUAAUGCGAUGAACACGUGACCUCGACAAGGACGUCGCCAUUUUGAGGAAAAAUAAGCGCGGCAAAUUUAUACGUGACGUCUCUCAUAUCUCUCAAUCAUCCAAUUUUCUUCUAAAAAAAAAAAAAAGUAUUACUUUUAUUAUACAUUGUGUAAAAGUUAUAAAAGAAAAAUAAACGUAUUGCUUAAAACAAAACAUACUGUUCGAAUUCAUUUAACUGUAAAUAACUUUGAUCCAAACGAAGAAGCGGUAGAGUAGAGAGUUAAAUAACUUGAUGCAUUUAGAAUUUCAAGGAAGAGAAUAUCUGACCGCUCUUCCGCGAAAUUAAAAAAAAAAAUAAACCGCAUUUCUGCUUUCGUGUUAACCGUACUCAAACCAUGACAACUAAUCAUUGACCAAGUCUCGUUAUGAAAUUAAUUCAAUCUAACAAUCAUGUAAAACUGUCGGUUCUAAACAUCGGUAAUCUAAUUGCGAAUUAACAUGCAAGUGUAAACAAAAUCAAAUAACAUCGAUCUGGUAUGGAGAACACGCAAUGAGAGGAAAAGAGAGGCAUAGACUAGAAACGUGUCUUUACAGCCGAUGCACUGGGAAGAUUCCCAUCGGUACUCGUGCACGGCAAAUUACGUAAGAAGCUGACAAUGCUAGUCUCGUAACAUCCUCGAGCAAAAAGCGAUUCGAUGGAGCGGCCAACCUUCUUUAAGAAAGUACACGCGUUUCAGAAUUGCGGUACGAAUGCACACGUGACAAGAAGAAGAGAAGUCGUUUAAAUCGUCGUUGAACAAGUCGUCAAGUGACGAGUAAAAUGCCACAGCGUGGAUAAUCGAAAAACGGACGACAAACCAAAUUCCCGCGCAUGCUGCCGUGGCCAGCGCUCACGAUACUGUUCGUCCGUAGAGCGCUUUCUGACGGAUCUCCCAGCCGCUGGAGUGCUCCCAGUGGGAGACGAAGAUCGCCGGAGCAGCACGAAGCACACCCGAACUAUUGGUACCGAUGAGAUCGAGUUGAAUCCAAUCUGGGGCCAGUAGCCUGUUCCAUAGACAAAUCGAUUAUCCGAAUUGAUAUACCAUUACCAAGUUUUAUUUAAAGAAAUGAGAAAAGAUAUAAAGUAUGAAGAGAUAUUCGAAAAUGUCAAGUUGAAAUAUAUGAAAUCUACUUUAAUGAA